rfam:Schistosoma mansoni, Puerto Rico, WGS project CABG01000000 data, contig: 0132
GUCCAGCCGACGAGUCCCAAAUAGGACGAAAUGCGCGUCAAACAGGAU